rnacentral:rRNA from 1 species
UGACGUAGGUGGCAAGCGUUGUCCGGAAUUAUUGGGCGUAAAGCGCGCGCAGGCGGUCCUUUAAGGUCUGAUGUGAAAGCCCCACGGCUCAACCGUGGAGGGUCAUUGGAAACUGGGGGACUUGAGUGCAGGAGAGAAGAGUGGAAUUCCACGUGUAAGCGGUGAAAUGCGUAGAGGAAUGUGGAGGAACGCCAGUAGGCGAAGGCGGUUCUGCC